CCCGAACCCGGACUGGCUGGUUUCUAAACAAGCCGGGUUAGGGUUGGAGAAAUGGUGACCCGUCGAGAAACGGGUUAACCCGGCCCGGACCGUGAAACCACGGUUUAACCCGUGAACCCGCACUUCAUACGUGUCGCCUCUCCUUCACUGGAUUAAUCGACCGAGAGGAUAAACUCUCAUUUAUAUUUUCUUCUUCUUCUCGUUUCUUUCUUCUUCUCUUCUUUCUGUUUUUCACCUCUGGUGAAUUCUUGUGAGGGCUCUGAGGUGGUGAGGUUGGGAUAAUUAGACAAGAGUCAUGGGUUGUUGCUGGAGGUGGUGUUUUUCUUGGCUGAACAAGGAGAGAAGAGGAAAUAUUAAAUCAGUGAAGAUAUGAAUUAGAGUUUAUAGAGUUGGAUGAUGUUAUGAAGAUUUAGAAGAUAAAUUAUGAAGUUAUUGUUGUUGAAGAUUCAUGAGUAGUUUUUUAAUUUAAGCCUUGAAGUUGAUUCAGUGACGAAUCAUUGAAGAAUCAAUAGUUAGGGUUUUCUGUAAUUGAUCGAGAAUUCAAUUAAAGGUGAAUAAGAAGAAGUUAGAAGAUGAGUUUGUUUUUGAUUGGUAUUUGAUGUAAAUGGUGGAGUUAUCCUGAAAAAUUGAUUAAGAAAUUGCAGAUUUAGGGUUCCUCAUGUUCUUCCCCAAUUUAUAAAUUAGAGUUUCUGAGGGUUGCUGAUUAUGAGACUCAGAUCGAGACAGAAGAAGGGUAGAGUUGGUUUUGGUAGAUGGUGGUGAUCUUGAGAUGAAUUCUGAAUCAGGUCAGAGUAAGAAGAAUCUAAUUCAAUUGCUUGAGUUGGAUUGGUUUGAGGUUGAACUGCAGUUAUUAGCGCAGAACUGAAGUGAGUUAGUAUUAGUAAUAUGCCUGGGGUGAUCGAAUUACUAGUAGUAUUGUUGAAUGAGUUUCUGUUUUACUCGUUGGUUAGACGGACCAUUAACAGAAGUAAAUGUAAGACAAUAUGGAUUGGUGGUGGCCAGACAAAGAAAUUGAUGCUCUUGUUUAUCCUCAAGGAAGACGGUAAACCCUCAAAUCCAAAUUAUGUUUGCUUAUCUGAUUUCUCUUUCUGAAAACAUAGUGAAUUAGCCACCGAUUCUGCAAUCUUUGAUUAUUGAUCAUCUUAGCAUCUAAGCACGAGAAGAGGCUGAAAAGGCCAAAGAAGGUGAUGGAUCCACAACACUUUCAAUGAGUGGAAGAUGAUUUGGUUAAAUGGGAUUGUUCUUGUUUGGAAAAAGGAUAGAAAUAGAGAGCUAUUGAUGGCAGUAAGAGUUGGUGACUAAAAUGGCAAGGUUCGUGCUUGGAGGGUGGUUGAAAAAUUGUCUCAACAAAAUCCCUUGUGAUUUGGAGGAGCUAAUGCACAGAUUCUUCUGCAACAUUUUUGUAGUAUGUUUUAACUGGCAGUACUCAGUUCUAGCCAUCACGGGGGUUGAACAUCUAAAAUGUUGGCUCAACUGAGGGAAGAGUUGGUGUCCAUCAUUUGGAUUUGGAUGAUUCUCAGCAAGAGAAAAACUUCACCUUCAAAUGCAUAGAAUUCUUGCUGCGAUUGAAGCAACGAUGGGUUGAGCUGAAAAUGGACUGAUUAGAUGUAUGUUAGGUGCUAUAG